rnacentral:rRNA from 1 species
UACGAAGGGGGCUAGCGUUGCUCGGAAUUACUGGGCGUAAAGCGCACGUAGGCGGUCUUUUAAGUCAGGGGUGAAAUCCUGGAGCUCAACUCCAGAACUGCCUUCGAUACUGGAAGACUCGAGUCCGGGAGAGGUGAGUGGAACUGCGAGUGUAGAGGUGAAAUUCGUAGAUAUUCGCAAGAACACCAGUGGCGAAGGCGGCUCACUGGCCCGGUACUGACGCUGAGGUGCGAAAGCGUGGGGAGCAAACAGG